rnacentral:rRNA from 1 species
UCGGGAAUUUUGGGCAAUGGGCGAAAGCCUGACCCAGCAACGCCGCGUGAAGGAUGAAGUAUUUCGGUAUGUAAACUUCGAAAGAAUAGGAAGAAUAAAUGACGGUACUAUUUAUAAGGUCCGGCUAACUACGUGCCAGCAGCCGCGGUAAUACGUAGGGACCAAGCGUUGUUCGGAUUUACUGGGCGUAAAGGGUGCGUAGGCGGAAGGAUAAGUUAGUUGUGAAAGGCCUGGGCUUAACCUAGGAACUGCAAUUAAGACUGUCCAUCUAGAGUUGAGUAGAGGGGAGCGGAAUUUCCGGUGUAGCGGUGAAAUGCGUAGAUAUCGGAAGGAACAUCAGUUGCGAAGGCGGCUCUCUGGACUCAAACUGACGCUGAGGCACGAAAGCGUGGGUAGCGAACAGGAUUAGAUACCCCUGUAGUCCCUGAGCGGGCUGGCAAGGCGCAU